CUUUUUGCUCAGUUGAACUCGCAGAACUACAGAAAAAUGUGAAAAAGAUGGAUACAAUGAAUUUAGGUAGCAAAAAGGAAUUCUCUCUUUUAUAGCACCCUAGACAUAGACAUGACAUUGACCAGAAAAAAAUAAUUCACAUUGACUAUUGAACCAAUUUUUUUAAAUUUUUUUUUGGGAUUUCUGUAUUGAUAUUAUCUUUUACAAAGUUUAAAACUUUAAUAUUCUAGUAGUUAUUUUUUUUUGUUGGAAAAUAUCUAGCAGCAGCAGAUCAAGAAAAGUAAAGUUUCCAGUUUUGAGGUUUUGUGGAUUUGUAAGAGGGCAAGGAAGAAAAAUUAGUAAAGAAUAGAACUUUGAAUAUUGCUAUUAAUGGAAGUUGAAAAAGUUCCUCUUACAGUGAUUUGUUACACAUAAAUUUAUGUUCCGCAUUGGAAGUACUAUGCUCAGAUGAACCUGCUGCUAAAUAGAUGCAUUCGUAUAAUCUUCAUACUUCUGCCGAUUAUAAGGCCAGGUAGUUUGCGCACACCUCGUUCAUUUCAUCGGAUACCUGAUACCUCUACAACAUAUGUACCAGCCCAUCGGGUAACUUUGUCCGCCAAGGCUUAACAAAUGAGAACAAAACACCUUGCCUCCUCUGAGGGCACUGAAAAGAUCGAAGGCAUGUGACUGAACUUGGAUUCUGCACAAGAAGUGAAUGUCAGCAGUGCAGUUUCUCAGUAUCCAAAAUACAAAUGUUCGUCAGGGUCCUGAUUUUCUUCAUGGUGAGUUGAGUUGGAUGUCCAUCAAGAAGUCUGUCUGUUAGUUUUCGGGGGAGAAAAGCUUGUUGGUUUGAAGUUGAAAGAUAGCCGAAUUACACAACUUUGGCAAGGCUCCAACGUUUAUAUAUAGUCGGAGUACUAAUUAUCUGGCUGUUUUGCUUUCUUGCUGUUUGAUUUGUUUCAGUAUGACAGGUUCUAGUAAGGUUGAUUUGUUUCAUCAACCUAGCCAAUCACAGAAGCUAGUAAGGACCCCGGAUUUUUCAGGUACCAGUAAUCUUGAAAGUGUUAAGGUUUUGAUUCUAUCAGCCUGCUUAAAACUCGAAAAGUUCCUGAAAAAAUAGAAGAAGAAAUGAAUCGCUUUUCAAAAGUGUACUUGGAUGGAGCUUCUUUGGGAGAGGUACGCGCAUCACUUGAGAACCUUCCAGGGGUUAGCUUGAAUAUUUGAUAAAUCUUAGUUACUGCAAGCAUCUUGAGAAUCUCCCAAGCAGUAUUUUUAGAUUGAAGUGUCUUAAGAACACUUGCUCUAUUCGGGUGCUCAAGACUCGAAAAAAUAUCAGAUGAUGUGGGACUUUUAACGGGCUUAGAGGAGCUCCGCUGUGAUGGCACAGCCAUCCGAACACUUGUCUUUUCGUGGAUGUAAUGCUUUGGGUUUACAAGUAAACAGCUCAUUCUUCUCCUUUUGGCUUCCAGGAAAAGGUCAAAACUCCACGGGUCUAAUUUAUCGAGUCUUUGUUCAUUGACAAUGCUUGAUACUAGUCACUGCAAUAUCUCAGACAGAGGCUGGAGGCACCCUAUGUAAUCUUGUGUACUUAUCAUCUUUGUGGUAACAGCUUUACCAAUAUUCCAGCUGCAAGCAUCAGUGAUCUAACUGAGCUACUUGCGCCGAGUUCACCUUGGACGUGGUUGAUACAAUUAUGGAAUAACAUGCUCAAGGUAACUGCAGAAUGACAGGCAAAUUACAUUCCUUUAAUGGAGAUAUAUCUGUGGAUUCAGACUAACUGAGCUGUGUUUUAAAGUCAGCAGCAGAUCCACAAAGCAGGAAUUUGAGUUAGACGAUAGGAUUCAGUCUGGUUCUCUUGCCAGGAUAGGCCUUGGGACGGAGCUAGCAUGGAAAGUACGGGCCAGAAUUCAGUUACUUCGGAGCAAAUCCUGUAUAUAUUUGUUCAUUGAAUAUCUAUAUCUUUAAAUUUUGGAUUCACCUCUAAUCGUAAGUGAAUGUAUGAUCCAGAAGAAAACAUGUCAAGUUCUUCAAUGUGCAGAGAGAUUGUUGUUUGUCAAAUUACACCUCUUAUUCAACUGGUUUAUCUUGUUCAAGAGUUCUUGGUAAGUAACUUUCUAUAAUCUAUUGUUGUUGUAUUCAAAUGUACCUUGUCAUAUAAAUUCAUCCUCAAGUUUUAUUUUUUU